UUUUAUGAAGAACAGGGUUUUAAGACUUGAUUUAAUUGGAAUGUUACAGAGAAGAUUAGCAUGGCCCCUGCGCAAGGAUGACACGCAAACUCGUGAAGCGUUCCAUAUUUUU